rnacentral:tRNA from 1 species
GCUCCUAAAGGAUAAUAGUUAUCCGUUGGUCUUAGGAACCAAAAAUACUUGGUGCAAAUCCAAGUAGCAGCU